rnacentral:rRNA from 1 species
CCCUAUAGAAUUUUAUAUUGAAAUUACUCAGUAGUUAAUUCAGAAAUAGUUUCAAUAUUUGAUUGGGAGGAUUAUUAAAAUUAACCAACUUUAAUUUAAGUUAACUUUAAUUUAAGAGUAGAUAAUGAUCUUCAAUUUGAAAUUGCUAGAAUAAAUUACCUUAGGGAUAACAGCGUAAUACUUUUUUAUAGGCCAUAUAGAAAAAAGUGGUUGCGACCUCGAUGUUGAAUUAGGAUAAAUUUUAAAUGCAGGAGUUUAAUAAUUAAGUCUGUUCG